CCUACGGGAGGCAGCAGUGGGGAAUAUUGGGCAAUGGGCGCAAGCCUGACCCAGCAACGCCGCGUGAAGGAAGAAGGCUUUCGGGUUGUAAACUUCUUUUCUGAGGGACGAAGAAAGUGACGGUACCUCAGGACUAAGCCACGGCUAACUACGUGCCAGCAGCCGCGGUAAUACGUAGGUGGCAAGCGUUAUCCGGAUUUACUGGGUGUAAAGGGGGCGUAGGCGGCUAAGCAAGUCAGAAGUGAAAACCCAGGGCUCAACCUUGGGACUGCUUUUGAAACUGGGGUGCUAGAGUGCAGGAGAGGUAAGCGGAAUUCCUGGUGUAGCGGUGAAAUGCGUAGAUAUUAGGAGGAACACCAGUGGCGAAGGCGGCUUACUGGACUGUAACUGACGUUGAGGCUCGAAAGCGUGGGGAGCAAACAGGAUUAGAUACCCUUGUAGUC
rnacentral:rRNA from 1 species